GGGUCAGUAGGUUGGUCGUGCCACCGGUACGUACUGGUCUCACUGAUUCCUCCUUCCUGAAGAACCGUAAUGCCAUUAAUCUGGUGUAGCGGGGAAACAGGACUGUUACUUUGAAAAAAUUAGAGUGUUUAAAGCAAGCUAACGCUUGAAUACAUUAGCAUGGAAUAAUGAAAUAGGACGAUCGAUCCUAUUUUGUUGGUUUCUAGGAUUGACGUA
rnacentral:rRNA from 1 species